CCUACGGGAGGCAGCAGUAGGGAAUCUUCCACAAUGGACGAAAGUCUGAUGGAGCAACGCCGCGUGAGUGAAGAAGGGUUUCGGCUCGUAAAGUCCUGUUGGUAGUGAAGAUAGAUAGAGGUAGUAACUGGCCUUUAUUUGACGGUAAUUUCUUAGAAAGUCACGGCUAACUACGUGCCAGCAGCCGCGGUAAUACGUAGGUGGCAAGCGUUGUCCGGAUUGAUUGGGCGUAAAGCGAGUGCAGGCGGUUCAAUAAGUCUGAUGUGAAAGCCUUCGGCUUAACCGGAGAAUUGCAUCAGAAACUGUUGAACUUGAGUGCAGAAGAGGAGAGUGGAACUCCAGGUGUAGCGGUAGAAUGCGUAGAGAUAUAGAAGAACACCAGUGGCGAAGGCGACUCUCUGGUCUGCAACUGACGCUGAGGCUCGAAAGCAUGGGUAGCGAACAGGAUUAGAUACCCGUGUAGUC
rnacentral:rRNA from 1 species